rnacentral:rRNA from 1 species
AAGGAUCAUUAAAGAGUAAGGGUGCUCAGCGCCCGACCUCCAACCCUUUGUUGUUAAAACUACCUUGUUGCUUUGGCGGGACCGCUCGGUCUCGAGCCGCUGGGGAUUCGUCCCAGGCGAGCGCCCGCCAGAGUUAAACCAAACUCUUGUUAUUAAACCGGUCGUCUGAGUUAAAAUUUUGAAUAAAUCAAAACUUUCAACAACGGAUCUCUUGGUUCUCGCAUCGAUGAAGAACGCAGCGAAAUGCGAUAAGUAAUGUGAAUUGCAGAAUUCAGUGAAUCAUCGAAUCUUUGAACGCACAUUGCGCCCCUUGGUAUUCCGAGGGGCAUGCCUGUUCGAGCGUCAUUACACCACUCAAGCUAUGCUUGGUAUUGGGUGCCGUCCUUAGUUGGGCGCGCCUUAAAGACCUCGGCGAGGCCUCACCGGCUUUAGGCGUAGUAGAAUUUAUUCGAACGUCUGUCAAAGGAGAGGACUUCUGCCGACUGAAACCUUUAUUUUUCUAGGUUGACCUCGGAUCAGGUAGGGAUACCCGCUGAACUUAA